rnacentral:rRNA from 1 species
GAUAAACGCUGGCGGCGUGCAUGAGACAUGCAAGUCGAACGAAGGAUCGGGCUUGCUCGAUCCUUAGUGGCGGACGGCUGAGUAACGCGUAGGUGACCUACCCCGAAGUGGGGAAUAACUGCCCGAAAGGGUGGCUAAUACCGCAUGUGGUCGCACGUUCAUUCGUGCGAGUAAAGCCGCAAGGCGCUUCGGGAGGGGCCUGCGUCCGAUUAGCUCGUUGGUGGGGUAAUGGCUUACCAAGGCUACGAUCGGUAGGUGGUCUGAGAGGACGAUCACCCAGACUGGGACUGAGACACGGCCCAGACUCCUACGGGAGGCAGCAGUCGGGAAUUUUGCUCAAUGGGGGAAACCCUGAAGCAGCAACGCCGCGUGAGGGAUGAAGGCCUUCGGGUUGUAAACCUCUUUUGUCAGGGACGAUGAUGACGGUACCUGGCGAAUAAGCCACGGCUAACUACGUG